GCACAAGCGGUGGAGCAUGUGGUUUAAUUCGAUGAUACGCGAGGAACCUUACCUGGGCUCAAAUGUAUGUUGACGUAUUCUGAAAGGGAUACUUCUUCGGACAAUAUACAAGGUGCUGCAUGGUUGUCGUCAGCUCGUGCCGUGAGGUGUCGGGUUAAGUCCCAUAACGAGCGCAACCCCUAUCAUUAGUUGCCAUCAGGUCAAGCUGGGGACUCUAAUGAAACUGCCUACGCAAGUAGUGAGGAAGGUGGGGAUGACGUCAAAUCAGCACGGCCCUUACGUCCAGGGCUACACACGUGCUACAAUGGCCGGUACAAAGGGCAGCUACCUGGUGACAGGAUGCUAAUCUCAAAAGCCGGUCUCAGUUCGGAUCGGAGUCUGCAACCCGACUCCGUGAAGCUGGAUUCGCUAGUAAUCGCGCAUCAGCCACGGCGCGGUGAAUACGUUCCCGGGCCUU
rnacentral:rRNA from 1 species